ensembl:snRNA Gm25644 predicted gene, 25644
GUGCUCGCUUCAGUAGCACAUAUACUAACAUUAGAAUGAUACAGAAAAGAUUAUCAUGGCCCCUGCACAAGGAUGACACGCAAAUUCUUGAAGUGUUCCAUAUUUUU